rnacentral:rRNA from 1 species
GUGAGGAAUCUUGCGCAAUGGGGGAAACCCUGACGCAGCAACGCCGUGUGAGUGAUGAAGGUCUUCGGGUCGUAAAGCUCUGUUUGAAGGGACGAAACGUAUUUGAUUAAUACUCAAAUAACUUGACGGUACCUUCAGAGGAAGCACCGGCUAACUCCGUGCCAGCAGCCGCGGUAAUACGGAGGGUGCAAGCGUUGUUCGGAAUCACUGGGCGUAAAGGGCGUGUAGGUGGCUAAUUAAGUCAGGUGUGAAAUCCUUCCGCUUAACGGGAGAAGUGCACUUGAAACUGCUUAGCUAGAGUACGGGAGAGGAAGGUGGAAUUCCUGGUGUAGAGGUGAAAUUCAUAGAUAUCGGGAAGAACACCGGUGGCGAAGGCGGCCUUCUGGCCCGAUACUGACGCUGAGACGCGAAAGCGUGGGGAGCAAACAGGAUUAGAUACCCGGGUAGUCC